UGAUAUCAUGCUAUGCUAUUGUUUUGUAAUCAAUCACCUCAGAUGAGCUAAUAAACAAAUAUUCUGCUAAUAAAUUGGGGAUAUUUCAGUAAUGUGUAUUUCAAUUUCUGCCAUAUCUUUCUAGUGCCAAUUUUGGUUUGAUGAAACUGUCGCUUCAUUGCCUAUUUGUUCUUCAUGGUGGAUUUGCUGCAGCGCCUGGAUCUUCAAUUCAGUUGUCUAUUCUGUGUCUGCGAAGCAGGAUUUUGUCUCAUUGUCUGCAGCCUCGCUCGCUGGUUUUGCAACCUUCUUUGGAAAGGCUUUACUACAGCCCGCAUCUGCUCCUCUCCCUCCGUCUCUCGUCCUCUCUGGCGUAGUGGGGCCGAGAUGCAGUGGUUCUCCUCCGGCUCCGGGCCCUCCUCCUCGGCGGCGGCCUCCUCCUCCCAGCCGUCGCUGCUCGCGGAUUGGAACUCCUACGCCGCCGCCCGCUCCGCCGAGGACGCGGGCGAUGGCUUCGGGAUCGACAUCGAGGCCGCCGUCCGCUCCGCCAACGACCGCGUCGCCGGCACCUUCGGCGUGGUCUCGAAAGGUGUUAAAGGGUUGCCUGGCAGCUUCAAGUCCACAACAAGCAGUGUUACAUCUGGCGGAUCUCUCAUGUAUUUCAGUCUGUUUCUUGCUAGUGGCGUAUUCCUAGUUUUCAUUGCAUUCACGAUAUUUCUGCCAGUCAUGGUGAUAAUGCCUCAAAAGUUUGCAAUCUGUUUCACGGCGGGAUGUGCCUUCAUAAUCGGAUCAUUCUUUGCACUGAAAGGGCCUAAGAAUCAGCUCUAUCAUAUGAUUUCCAAAGAGCUUAUUGCUUAUAACUUGGUUUCAACAAUCUACGAGAUCACUUGAGGUUACCUUUCACUGUGGGAUUUGUCGGCAGCAUGGUUGCCACCAUUUAUGUGUCAAUGGUGAUGCAUAGCUACAUACUUUCUGUUUUCUUCUCCGUGCUUCAGGUCCUUGCUCUAGCAUAUUACACCAUCUCAUACUUCCCUGGUG